AGCACAAAAGCAAUUUUCAAAUUCCAUUUUUCAAAGUACCCCAGUUCCUUUGCAGGUGCCCCCAUUACUGGAGCACAGGGACUGUGUCCCAGAACGAGACUAAAGCAGCUCUCUUUGUACCAAUUUUCAUACAGUAGGAUGAAGACUGAAGUUAAUAAUAAGACCCACUGCAGAAAAACAAAGUUUGAAAACAUUAGACCAAAAGACCCUUGAGGUUCUUUCCAGUAUUCUUCACUUCUGUUAAUUAAUUGGGGACCAUUUAACCAGAGAACAAAGAUGAAGGCAUGAUUUUAUUCAUGUUUUCAACAGUGUGAGUCGUUUCAUAAAAAGAAAGUUUAUUGGCCUUUUCAUGUCCACUGGAGGCUAAGAUGAAAGAUAGGGCCUCAGUUUAAAAAGUGUGCUUCCAUUCAAAUUUAAGGCAAAGUCUUUGGACACUUUUAAUAAAGAACAAGGAAAAUGGAGCCAUUAAUUACAGGCCCAGGAGAACUUAGGAAAUUUCCUUCUGUUGCAGAGGCAAUUAGCUUGAGAAAUGCAUCCUAGCCACAUGAUGAGAGAAGUCAGUAACUUUUUAGGAACUGGCGGGGGAUUGAGAUGACUCAUAAUUGAUGCCUGGAUCAAUCUAAAAUCUAACUUUGGAGGAGGCUCGGUGCAGUCUGAUCUUUCCAUUGCGUUCAUGGAGACUGUCUGGCUGCAAAGAUCUUGGGUACACUUGUUGCAUUUGUAUGACAGGAUGAGGCAGUGAUUCUCCACUUUGAUUAUUAAAAACAUAGAGAAGGGCUUGAGUCUUGGGUUCAUCCUAGACCUCUCAGCUGGAAUCUCUGUAUCUUAUUCAUGGGAGGAAGAUUAUACAGCUACACCCAUGCACGGAUGUGUUCUCACAGUGAAGGAAAGAUGGCUUCCAUAUUUUUGUAUUAAAGAGCAAGAGCUUGUCUGGGACAUUAGCUGCAGAGCAUGGUGCUUGGAGCUCAGUGAGAAGUGUGUGCUGGGAAGGAGAAAGUGGGGAAAGCGCUGAGAUAUAGUUUAUGGUUGGGGAAGCCUAUGAGGAGAGUAUAGGACGUCAUAGAAAAAAAAUGAGAAAAUAAGACAGAAAAAUUCCCUGGUUGGACACCAGAAAUCUGUUGUGAAGAAACUAUUGCACGAAAUUGUGGAGACAGAGCAAGAACAAGAGAUUAAGAGCAGGAAAUGAGAGGAAAUGGACAAGCAUGUUUGCUGCAGAAGACCCAGGUGUCUGGGCUUGAAGGAGAAGACAGCUGGAGGGGAAGAGCAGCCUGGCCUGGAGCAGGGAGGGGAAUGCAAACUGCUGCAAACCCAUGAGGCUGAUCUCAAAGGAAGGAGGCAGAGACCACCCUGAGAGCAAACCAGUACACUGAGGGGCUUGGUAAAGGCAAAGACAGAGUGUAAAAGAUCUCCUUGAGAACCCAUAACCUGCCGGCACCCCAAUGAGUCAUGGGCUGAAGGGUCACACUGAGGGCAGAGAGGUGGUCCUGAGAGGCCAGCUCUUACAGACUCCCUGAAGAGAAGGGAGGUGGUGAUCUAAAGGCUUCCUAAGGUAAAAGGAUCCAGAGAGCUGAGGCCCCAGGAAGCAGCCACAUCCCCAAGUGCCUAAUGUUGGAUAAAUGUGUCCUUGGCAGUUUUUCUAGGAUGUCAGGCUGCUCCUGUAAUUCAGCUUUUAUGCAUAUGGGAAACUCAGGAGAAGCACUGAAGAGUUGCUGGCUCUGUUUUCUAAGGAAAAUGUCUACCUUGAGGCCACUGAAACUCUUUCUGAAGCAAAAAAUUUCUUUCUUCCUCCUUAAAUGUUCUUACAAACCUGGAAGCUAUAGAUAAAGGGCCAUUUUUAGCCACUGUUAACCUUUAGUAAAAGGCUGUAACUCUCAGGAGUUCUUUGAGACACUCAUACACAGAAACAGUGUGAGGUGAGAUUCAGCCCUGUUCUCUCCUAGAUGUGGCGACCUCCUGCUCAUUUGCGCUGAGGGCUACUUCCUGUCAACCACCUGUCAAUGGUUCUUCACACCAGCUAUUUCUGUCUCUUAUCACACAGUAAGGACUGAGAUCUCCAAAACGCAGAUACUUGUCUACUUGUCUUCAUCUCCAGCAGAUAAACCUGAGAGCAUCCUAUGGACUGCAAAACACAGCACUGGUUAAUCUUAUUUAUGAACUGGACUGAAUGAGGGGACUCCUGGAAAGGUGGUGGGGCCGUGACACUCAUGAGUGGACUGGUGUUCACUGGUGUUCCUGGAUGAAUGUGCCAUCAGGAGCUGGGGAUAUUUAGAGGAGGACCCUAAUGCUAUAAAGAAGAGCUGGCAGAUAACACCACUGAGCCAAGUACACUGUGUGAGAGCAGCAAAUGUAACUGUUAAACAAAAAUUUAAAAAGCACCAUUUAUCAAUUUGAAUGACAUUCGUCAUCUUGAUCUUUCAGGGUCAUUUAACAUGAAGUAACAUUAAAAGAUGAAGAAGGGCUACAGAGCUGGAAGUGGACCAGGUGGAGCCCUCAACAUGGAUAAGGAGUCUUGGAAAUAGCCCAACUGAUUCAGACACCAAGGACAACUGAAACACUAGGUUUGCUAUUUCAGCUUUUGUUUGAACCAUUACCAUGCUACAGGAACACCAGAUUUCUUUAAAAGGACUGCAGUCCCAUGAAUUAUCCAGGUGAAUCAGCCCUUCCACAGGACUAGGAAAAAGCAAACACACUUACCUCUACCUCUCAGGCUAAGGGUGUCCUGCACGCAUCAGUUUGGGAAGGCUCACCUUGAGUUCAAUCACUCACAUGAGUAACAUGGAGAAUAUCCUCCAGGUGGGUCAAAUGAGGAAACAUAAUAAUAAGCCUUGUCCAUAUUAUCACUUCAAUGGAAAUCAGAUACUAAGUGUGACUGAACAUCUCUCUGUAGAAUUUUCCGUCUUCUUGGUCCUUUGUGAUGUGAAAAGCUGUCUGCAUUUGUAGAGUAAACCAUGCUUAGUCACCAUGAGUACACUGCCUGACACGCCUUUUCUGAGCAGCACUUGGGGCUGAGCCCAGGCCUGCACACUUAAUUACAUCCACAGCCCUUUCUGAUUUUCUAUUUUGAGAUAGGAUCUUGCUAAAUUACCCAGGCUUUACUCAGAUUGUUGCUUCCUCAGCCUCCCAGAUUAUUGGGAUUACAUGCAGGCUCAUUCCACCCAACAGAAUAACACAUUUCCUAACUUUACCUUAAAAAGGCACCACAUUUUCAAAUCUGCUAACCUUUUCCUUCUGAGCUCUGCUCAUCAACAUCUAUCUUUUCCAAAAGUAGGAAGUUAGAAACAAUAUUGUCAUGUUUUGAAUUCUGUUUGAGUCCCUCACAGUAACCGAUUGCACCUGGUUUGGAACACUCAAGGCCUUAUUCUAAAAUUGAAAAUGUCUCAAAAAUAAAUAAAUAAAUAAAUAAAUAAAUAAAUAAAUAAAUAAAACUGAAAA